UCCCAACCCCUGUGAAUUAUACCUUUAAUUGUUGCUUCGGCGGGACUUCGCGCCCGCCGGGGACCCAAACCUUCUGAAUUUUUUAAUAAGUAUCUUCUGAGUGGUUAAAAAAAUGAAUCAAAACUUUCAACAACGGAUCUCUUGGUUCUGGCAUCGAUGAAGAACGCAGCGAAAUGCGAUAAGUAAUGUGAAUUGCAGAAUUCAGUGAAUCAUCGAAUCUUUGAACGCACAUUGCGCCCGUCAGUAUUCUGGCGGGCAUGCCUGUUCGAGCGUCAUUACGCCCCUCAAGUCCCCUGUGGACUUGGUGUUGGGGAUCGGCGAGGCUGGUUUUCCAGCACAGCCGUCCCUUAAAUUAAUUGGCGGUCUCGCCGUGGCCCUCCUCUGCGCAGUAGUAAAACACUCGCAACAGGAGCCCGGCGCGGUCCACUGCCGUAAAACCCCCCAACUUUUUAUAGUUGACCUCGAAUCAGGUAGGACUACCCGCUGAACUUAAGCAUAUCAAUAAGCGGAGGAAA
rnacentral:misc_RNA from 1 species